ACAUAUCCAUUAUAAUUUUUUUCCUCUAUCAAUCUAAUCUUCAGGAAGAUGUGAAAGAUUAGGAAUUUUUAUCAACAGCCUUUUUCCCCAAUUCCCUAAUGCCAUGCAGCAAAUUUAUUAUUUUUUUUGCACGAAUAAAAAUCACCUUGUCUGCAGGAUGUCAUGAAGAGCAGAUCCCUUGCAUUAACUUAAGGAAAUGUGAUUGGCUAAAACGGAAACACUGGGUAUGAUGGAGAAGAGAUAUACAUUACACAGAGGAAACGACACUUGACUAUCGAGGUUCUAUAGCAAAGGGAAAGAACGGCAAGUACCUGUCUGUCAAUGUAGAGUAGUCGGGUUCAAGCAAAUUAUCAAUAUCAUUAUACACGUCAUAUAUAAAACUAGUCCCAUCCAUGGAUGUUCUAUAAACAUUCUGUUUAAGAUGCCAUUUUUGCCCCGUAAUUAAUAAAACAAUAUACUUUAACAGUAUUUGCAAAAAUACUUACAUUUGAAUACUUCUAAGCAUGGAUAUUUUACUGUGUUCAUUUUUAUCUGAAAUUUCAGUUUUGAUAAUGCUUGUGUAUCCAUAGAUCUCAACAAUUUACAAACACACAUGAAGCAUCCCGUGCAUUGCACAUCUAGUCAUUGUAUUCUUAGUCAGAGGUAUCCAAGAAAUCUGUUCAGUUACUUGGGAAUGGAGCUGUUCCAAAACCUUGAUCAUUCACUUGUACAAUGUGUGUCAUACACAAGACAAGAUGUUGAAUAUCGUAAGAUAAAUGCAGGUAAGUUUGGUCCAGUAUAUCAGACUAUAGAUACAGCUGUACCUGGAAAUGAACCUGUUCUAAAGAAGAUUACUUGAAAUGCAGCCUCUCCUUGUACAUGUUGUAAGGUCAAAGUAUCAAUAGCCCUUCCUAAAGCCUGUAAACUCUAACUUAUGUACCUGUUAAUGUAAAUGGAUGGAUGUCUAUCUCGGCUUGGGGUAAACAGCUGAGUGUGACUCUACUCCGCUUAGCUUUUAAACCCAAGUCCACUGGCUCAAAAUCAACAUAUGCCCGUCAGUCUGUGACUGGUUAAAAGUCUGGCGGACUGACUGACGUUUGUUUUAGUCAGUCCGAUCGGUCUGGUUAUAAUUUCCUAAAGCAUCAUUUUGGAAAAUAUACUUAUAUGAAAUCUUAAACACACAUUUGGCAUUCCUCUGUAGAUAUCAGACGAACCUGAUUAGUAAAUAUAAAUCUCACAUAAGUACAUGUACAAUAUUGUCUGAGGCAUAUUGAGUUGAAUUCCAUUAUUUCAAAUUAAUAACAUUAACGAAAUAGGUUUAAUUAUUUCUGGAAAACUCUGGUGGAGUGGUAAAUUUUUCUACGGACUGGUUGAAACAUACUCUAUCAGUCCGGCUGGACUGGUGCCAUAAAAAGUUAGUUUCAAGUCCUGUUUUUCUAUCUAUAAAUAAUGGAAGAGAAGGGGGGAGGUGGAGUGGUUGGAUAGUCAAUAGUUUGAUAGCUAGCAUAUUUCUGUUGAUGUCUGCACCUAUUUCACAGUUACAUAGUGUUACUAUGGUAUACCAUCAUCCAGUCAUACCUAACAUUAUAUUCUUCAACACUGAGAGAAAGUCCUUAGUUUUUUGCACAUCUGAGCUCACGAUGCAGGAUGUCACUUAAAGCUAGAAUGAGCUGAAUUAGAUGCUCUGCUUUGCGGCCAGAAACAGCCGGCAAUUCCCUGUCACCGAAAUAUGUAUAUUACUACAAAAUAUAAAAGUACAAUUCAAAUCAUCUAAUCCAAUACCUGGAUAAUCUAUUCCACUGUAUGUUUCGACCCUAAUUUUAAAGACUAGCUAUCGUUGUUUUGUAUUUAUGUUCUUUACAAUCAGCAUUAGCCAGCAUCCCGUCUAAACUGGCAUACACAAACUUUAAUUGUCUCCCAAAACAUGUCGAUAAGACAGGGUUGGUUUUUUUUUUUUUACUGUAUUACCAAAACUUGUUCAGAUAAAAUCAUUAAUGUAACAUCUAAGGUAACCAUUUAACAAUUUGACACAUUGCCCAAAGGGAGAACAUGCAACACAAUUUAACACUUGUGACUUGAAAAUUUUACAUCAGUCCUGCAUAAUUCUCACUAAUGUGAUUGCUGAUGGCCGUCGGUCAAGGUGCAAAUUAGUGCAAAGGAGGGAGGGUGCAGGAUGGUGUUUGCUCCCUCCUGCUGGGGAUGGGGGUCCAGUCUCCCCCAGAAAAUUUUGAAGAUAAACUGCCUCCCCUAGAAAAUUUUGAGGAUAAAAAAAAAAACUGACAAAUUUUAGGAUGUUACAUGGAAAUUCAAUGACUAAUUUUUAUUCAUAUUUUUCACAAAUUCUUACAUCAAACUACAGUACGAUGAACAUUAUUUAAAAACUCAUAUUUAUUGUGUUUCGACAAAACAUUGUAGUCAAUCAAAUAUUGUUUAUCUACCUAUUUUUCUAAAGGCUGUAAUGGCAUGGUGAUUUUAAUCAUGUUGGUCAAUUUUAGCAGAAAACUAAUAACCUCAAUGAGACAUGAUUUUGUCCUUCAAAUAGAAAGUAGAUGGAUGUCGGCAUAAUUCACAACAAUUUUCGCAAAGGUCAUUUUCACAACAACCAAUCAGAGCUUACUCACACAUGCAUGCACACAGAAUUUGGUGUUUUCCAUCUUAUAAAUAUAUCGAGUGCUCAAAUAAGUUUUAAUUUAGGACAAAUACCAAAAGAAAAGUAAAUUAUACAGUAAAACACAGUUAUAGCAAACUUCAGGUUCAGCAAAACAGUUCAUUAUAACCAAACUUAGUUAUAUCCAAUGAAAAUUUUCUUAAUUUCCUCACAUAUGGGAAUAAAUAUCACUUCACAAUAAACGUGAAUUCAUUAUAAGCUUGCUCAUUAAAAGUAGGUUUUACUGUAAUGUUUUUUAUUGACUUUCUGAUUAAUAUCACACCUGUCUGAAAUAUCACACCUGUCCGAAAUAUCCAACACUUUCCCUUAUCCGAUUCUAAUCUUUUACUACUGCAUUGGAUUACUUAUGAAUGAUAUUACAUUAGUCUGGGGCAUAAUAUACUAGCCUCGGUCUACCGGAGUUACAAAUUAGUAUUAAAACCCUGCACAAUUAUGGGUAUGGUUGCAGUGAUUUUUUACUAGGCAUUUAGAGAACGGGACUGGGACCAAUAAAAUUCCAGGAAACACAAGUAUUCAUGAACACUGCCUCUAUAACUAUAAAAUAACAUAUCAAUCACACUUAGAGCAUUGUUUUACAGUUUCUGAUCAGGACUGGGGUCCAAUUUCAGUCCAGACUGAAAUCACUUAUUUGCAAACUACACAGAAUUCUUUAAAUCAAAAAGAAAUUUUAAAAGUAACUUGGUAUUUAGCUAUAAACUCCUUUGGUUUACCUUUGAAACGUCCCCCAUGUAUUAAUUCCACUGUGAUAAACACUGACUAAAAAUCACUUUGCUGAAUCGGUCCGGGACAGACACCAUGCACUGGCUUCCUGGGCUGACCCCCCCUUACUUCCUCAAAGAGCACAGUAUCACUCAAUUGUAAAAUUCCAAAGCUCCCACAAGUCCUCAUGGGAGUCCAUUAUAUAGAAACAUCCCCACGAAUUAUACCAUUGACUUGUUGCCCUUCGUUGAACAAAAUCUUAGGUCUGUGUUUGGUAAUACAGUUAGUUGUCUAACUCAGAAAAGCAAAUACCUUUUCAUAGCAGGCCUCUUUUGUGUACAUAAGUGGUUCCUUAACUAAACAAGGCAAGUGUUUAUCACGAAAACCUAACAUUCAAAUACUCAUGUAUAAAGCUCUCAACUCAGAAAAUGUCUCAGCACUUAGAUUUUUUUUGUAAAGGUACAAAUUGGAUCAAUAGUCUGUGCCAGUGGACACAUUUAGAGGGAGGAAAUCAGUCCUGUAUGUGUCACCUUUUAGAUAUUAGUUAUACUUACAAAAACCCUGCAAAUCUGACACAAUUUCUUAUAUUUUCAAUUGCAGAUUUUAUCAUAUUAACAAAAGCCAUUUAAUCAGUGACAAUUUUUUAAGUCAGUCUUAUAAAAAAAUUUCAAACGAGUCAUCAUUAAAUAAAAUGAUUGAUAUCAUAUCCUGUUUACUGCAGAAAUUACGUCCUGAUUCAAGGUUAAUUACAUACUGAGCGUAUGUAGGACUCGCUACGAGAAAGUAGAAUCAUCAAUGUGUACAUAAAAUAUAACUACGGCAGAAAUUUUAUUAGUCAUCGGGGGUAAAGAUUCACUGAUUGACCUUUAACCAACCCCACAAAGGGACAAAACUCGAGGUGAAGUGUUGAAACAUGUACAUAUGCCUCCUCUCACCUAACAUUUUGGCAGCCCAGCGAAGCAGAAAGAAUGGUGUCAAUCUAAUUACAUCACCACCAAGAAGUUAAUGUGAAAGAUAUGGAUUGCAGCAAAACGAGAAAAAGACCAGAUAAAACAAAAACAGAGCAAAAAUGAAUCAUCCGAUGCAUGGAUCUACUGUAACGCAAUAAUCCGAUUCUGCCAAAAUUCACAUGAUGGAGCAAGAAUUAGAUUCCAAGGGUUUCCCCCAGCACCAAAGUCAUAUGAUGUUAUAAGCUCAGAGAGAGACACCAAAAGUCGCCAGGUAUCUAACAUAACAAUGUCAUUGUCACAAAAUCUUUUUUUUCUGAUUUAAAUGCACAAGAUGACAGGAGAUAAUGUAUGGAUUGCCUCCACGCGGGAUUCACCAAGCGUGUCAUCGCAGUAAGGCACAGUACACACUGUAAAUAAUAUCCUGCUUAUCUUCUAUCAUCUUUGUGUUCUACCUUCAGGCCAAAGUAGUUAAUUAUUAGCUUCUUCAUUGUGUGAAAGCAGAGAUAAGACUGAUGAAUUCUUCAUUUUUGCAUAUUUCAAUCUUUUUGAACCUUCACCAAAUUAUGUGUCUGUUCUGUGAUAAAAAAAAAAAAAGAAAGGUAAAAUUAUCAUGAUGGUUUUAAUUGUCUAGAUAUUAUCACCUCCCCUUUCUCUCCUGAAGGACAAGGUGUUAAAUGGCGUUAAUAAUAGUCCAACACAUUUAUUGUCCAGAUGACGGUGUAGCUUUGAGAUUGCUAUGCAACUAUUUUCAUCAGAAUGCAUUAAUAUCCACAGCUAGGUAACUAAUAUUUUGCCAAGGAUAUCAAGAAAAGCAAUAUUUACAUCAGUGUAUGUCACUCUUGUCAUUAGUAAGCAUUAUAUUUUGUGCAUUCUCAGUUGUCCUGGAUUUCCAGAGUACCCCUAUCCCAUGAAUAUAAAACCUCAACUACAAACACAAUUAUACAUACCAUAACAUUUCAAUGUAUGAAAAUCAUAUCCACAAAAUUACACCCCAAUACAACUGCAAAAUAUGCAUGUAUGUCAGCUAAUCUGAAUCUGGCAAUGCAUUGUGAACAAGCAUACAAGAAAAAUACAGGUUGAAUUUGUAUCACAUUUUCACAAAAGAUGAGUUUAAUGACAAUUAAAUUUUGAAAGUGAUCUGUUCAUCAUCCGAGAAGAAUGAGAAUGUUCCACUACACCAUUAUAGCAUUUUGAUGAGGUCAGUAGAUGUCUUUAUUGACCUGAUGAGAGUAUAUAUUGACUGAGGAUGAGAUCUGAGGUCAACAUACUCUCAACAGGUUGAUAAAAACAUAUUGACCAUUAUCAAAAUAAAGUAUUUUUUAUAUUCAGUUAGUUCCAUUAAACAAGAGCAUUCAGAAAACAAUCUUCUCACCAAUACUCCCCUGAAUCUCUUAGUCUCAUCAACUGGCCGUGUGCACGGAUUGUUCCCGAAAUUAAUCUACUCUUAAUUUGGGGUGAAACAAUACAUCGCGAUGCAGCCAGAUCGCGAUGUAGCAGUCUCGAUUCAAUGUUCGAUUUAUUCUGGGUCUGUUUCGGUUCAAUACGGCUCUCAAACUAUAGCCCACAGGGUUUUUAAUAACACGGCUUCUAAUUGGCCAAUGGACUUGAAGAUUGCCAAAUCAACGUACAAGUAGACUAUUGUAUCAAAAUGGACGCAGUCAUGUUGAAAAAUGCACCUCCAAUGUAUAAAUCGUGGGUAUGGUGACACUUUGGAUUUAGAACAAGUGAUAAAACUAUGGCAACGUGUCAAAUGUUUGAAAGAUGUAGCCGUGAAAACAGGAAGUACUACGAAUCUUGCAACACAUUUGCAAAGGAAGCAUGACAUUCAUGGAUCGAAACUUACUAAAGUUACUUCCAACGUGACGGUAACAAGCAGAGCUGACGAUGAGCGUCGAGAAUCCCAAAAAGCUGGUACAAGUAAAGAUGCUAAUUCUCAGAAAACGCAGAGAUCUGCGUCUGACUGAUAUUUUCAGAGGAAACUUCGGGAAGGAUCACCCCCGGGCACAGGCGAUUACCAAGGCCAUCAGAUAUUUCAUUGCCAGUGACAUGCGGCCGUAUUCUGUCGUUCAAAAGGAAGGUUUCAAACAUUUAGUAAAUACUCUUUGAAGAAUUUGGUAUAUGCUAAUUUAUCAAAUUGAAAAUCAUCGAAUCGAGACUAAAGUAUCAAAAAUCGAAUUGAAUCGAGAAGGUACUGUACUGUUUCACCCCUACUGUUAAUUUCCAGUCAUCAACUUUAAGCUGUGAUUUCAUGUAAUCUCUUCUUGAAUACUUCAAUACACAAUGAUACUGUCACAUACAUCAAACACUGUCACAUACAUCAAACACUGUCACAUACACCAAACACUGUCACAUACAUCAACACUGUCACAUACAUCAACACUGUCACAUACACCAAACACUGUCACAUACAUCAAACACUGUCACAUACAUCAACACUGUCACAUACACCAACACUGUCACAUACAUCAAACACUGUCACAAACAUCAAACACUGUCACAUACAUCAAACACUGUCACAUACAUCAACACUGUCACAUACACCAAACACUGUCACAUACACCAACACUGUCACAUACACCAAACACUGUCACAUACAUCAACACUGUCACAUACAUCAACACUGUCACAUACACCAAACACUGUCACAUACAUCAACACUGUCACAUACAUCAAACACUGUCACAUACAUCAACACUGUCACAUACAUCAACACUGUCACAUACAUCAACACAAUCAUUGACAUUGGCACACAUCAACAAUGUAAUGCACAUCCCUAUUGUCACACAUACACAUUAUCACCUUACCAGAACGUCAAACCUAAGAUGAUAACAUGGGUAGCAAUUGCUCCUAAAUACCAAAAUGCUCAACAUUUAGAAGAGAGAAUUACAGGCUUUUUUCUAGAUAUGACCUUAAAAACUGAGGUCCCAUGUGGUAGUGGCAGGCGUUGGAACGAUAAAGAACUCUCACUUAGCUAUGAUGGCAUUGAGCGCUAAGCAUGGCUAUAGAGCAUUUGUUUCACGACUAGAGAGGUUGCUAGUUGAAACUCGCUUUUGCUAUGACCAUGUCAAAUAUAGGCAGUGAUUGCCCCUUCACCAAAAACUUGGCAGUCCUAUGUGUGGCAGGCAUUGAAACGUUAAAAAACCCUCACUGCUACCACUCUACAUAGGAUUUGAGGUUCUUUGCCUACAGCUGGUGAUGUCUCUACAAGACUGAAAAAUUCUCCAAGGGACGUAAAACAACAAACAAAACCCUCACUCAUGAACUGCACCAAAUCAGCAGACAUUCAUUCCUAUCAUCACUGUACACGGUGACUGACUGUACACCGUCUUCUGUCCUCUGGUCUAAAGAGGUCAAACAGAAGGCCCAUGGACUUAAACUCUCAUCUCAGUAACAGCUUUCAAUUCCUAUCAAAACUUAAAAUUGAAUGUCAGACUAAAAAAUUUGAUCAUUCAGAAAACAAAUGCUUCCAAUGAAUGUUACAGUCAUUCUCUAGUCAAAAAGAGCAUAAUAAUUACUUUGGUCAUUAUGAAGCAAUUCUGAUGACAAUUUAACUACACACACAUACUGUGUAUCUUACAGAGCUUGUAUGCGCAUUCAUUAUCUUUACACCCAGGGCUUGAGAUCUAUAUUUGGUCAGAAAGAAAAUGAAUAAUGCUGGAGAAUUAGUAUUGGUGAGCUUACAAUAUGUCUGCAAGACCUCUACAAGCACUGAAGAUCAGCUAGCAUUUUAAGCAUAUCUAUCAUGAGAUUUUAACAUAUUUAAGGUAUUUUAAAAAUAAUCAUCCCAUCCUGAGGCUUUAAUUAACUGAAGUUUUACUAAACGCAUCACUUUCGCCAAGAAAGUCAUGUUUUCUAUCCUUUAUACUUGUAUGUGUUUGUACGUAUACACACGUUUUUCCGUGGAAAAAAUUACAGCCAACCAUCUAAAUUUUCCCAAAGACAUGUUUGAUUACUGGUAAGACCUGACUAAAUUGUGCAAGCGAUCUGUUCAACAAAACAGUAGCAGAAAAAGCGAGAUUGAUGGGGAGUUUUGUUGGAUAGUUUCUAAACAGUUAUUGACACAAUGCUUGUCUUGGUUGCCUAGUGGUCGUUUGGCACUAUCUUCGCAACAGAAGUACCAUGUCAAGGUAAGAGUUGGCAUGAUAAGUAACUCUCACUUGUAUAGCUAGUACAGACUGCCUUGAGUUUAAAAAAUUGUGGCACUUGGAAAAUACCGCUAUUAAACCAUGAUGUCCAAAUACAUGUAUGAGCAUGAGGUUCUUCAAUGUGGUGUAAAAUAACAAAUUAAACAGCAAAGUCUAAUUAAAUUUAAUUGUAGAUAGGUCGGAGCGACACCAAUGCCCCCACCUAAGGGCCAUAACUCUGUUAAAAGUUAUUUGACCUGACCCAUGGUUGUCCAUGAAAUAUACCGCAGUGAUGGCAACAUUUUUGCAGAAGCAUUACAGUUGGAAUUGGGGAUGAUACAAAAACAACAGACUAAUAAUUAAUCCCUGGUGUUCCACCUCCCUGGCAUCCAAAGUUUGAUCAGAUGGGCAGGUAUACAGAGAGCAAGUCUUUUAACGAUAUAAUGUUGGCAGCAAAGAUGACGAAAUUCUUAGCCUUAAGUCACAUUGACGAGUUCAACAGCAGUGUGUAAAGCUGAGACUUUAACACUAUAUAUGUAGCUAAAGCAAUGCUUUUUGUGUAAUGCCGUCAAAGCAGAGAAAAAUGUUCUUGCACGUACUUCUCAGACUUUUCAGCGACAAAAAUUACUGCUUGGAUUAAAAGCAUUCUGCAGUACAAAAAAUUCAGUGAACUCAUGAAAAUUCAUGGAAAUAGUUUGAACCAGUCAACCAUUACCUCUGAGAGAUUCAGGCUCUAGAAACGAAAUCAACGAGGGGGUGAUUCGAUCAGAGACUAUAUCACAGAAAUUGGGAAAAAAUGUGGUGAUUUCAAACGAAUGUGUGUAUGAUAGUUUAGUCUGUGGUCUCCAUAGCAAGGCAAUUCAGAGUAAACUGUUAAAUGGCAGAAAGAGAUCAGAUGCUGCAAAAAGCCAAACAGAUUCAACAGGCCAUGGAAACCCUAACAAAGAUGUAGUCGAGUUGCAGUCCAAAUAUGUUUUGACUCGUGAACAAGUGAAGGAUGAAAAAGUGAAGAUAACGAACAGCGAUAAAUCUCAAAGAUCCCAUAGAGAAUACAAAAUUAAGAGUAGGGCAAACAUGGACCUCUGGACAUACCUAAGGAUGGAUCAGGUGCCUACGAUAUGUAACAGAAUGAGAGACAAUGGCUUUCGCUCCUGUACCUGGGAAGUAGACAUGGGAAAACAGAGUUCCAAACCCAAUAAGUGUUUUCGUAGUAACAUUACAAAACAUGACCCAGGCCAGUUUAUCACAGACAGUGCUACAACUAUUCAAACACCGAGCCUGCUCCAUGAUGUGUAUUGCAAUAUAUCACUUUUCAAUAAUUUAUGAUGUUGUGUGCCUCUCUGCUUUGAAAAUUAAUGUGCAAGGAUGAGAGAUAUAUUAUUGUGUUAUCAAGUAUGACAUUUAAUAAACCCUGAUUAGGUUG